UGAUCGUCUUCGAAACAAAUCCCUCUGCUCCACCCCCUUGAAAAAUUGAUUUGGGAGUUGGGGAGCGAAGGCUUUCUUUUUUCUCCUCUGCCUUCUUUAUUAUUAAUAUUUUGUAAAGCUCCAGCGCUACGAGGAGUGGCCCCGAGCGAGGCCAGACUGCGCGGACGGCAGGGAGCGCGGCGGCUCCGCCAGGGGACGGCGCCGGCCGGGAGUGGCCGCUUGGGAACCCCCGACUGUCGGCCGAGUCUCAUUCUGUCGCCAGGCAGGAGUGCAGCAGCAUGAUCUCGGCUCACUGCAACCUCUGCCUCCUGGGUUCAAGCGAUUCUCCUGCCUCAGCCUCCAGAGUAGCUGGGAUUACAGGCACCCGCCACCACGCCUGGAUAAUAUUUUGUAUGUAUUUUUAGUAGAGACAGGGUUUCACCAUGUUGUCCAGGCUGGUCUUGAACUCCCGGUCUCAAGCGAUCCGCCUGCCUCAGCCUCCCAAAGUGCUGGAAUUACAGAUGAGAGCCACCGUACCCGGCCUGAAAUAUUGCCUUUUCUUGCAGUUUCUGAAACAAUUUAAUUUCAAACCCUUCAGCUGCAUUUUUUUGUUAUUAUCUUUUAAUUUUGGUGAAGUAUACAUAACAUGAAAUUUACCGUCUUCACCAUUCGUAUGUGUACAGUUCAGUGACAGUAAGUACAUUCCCGUUGUUAUACAACCAUCACCACUAUUUGUCUCCAGUACUCUUUUCAUUUUGUAAAACAAACUGUAUGCAUUAAAGGAUAACUCCCCAGUGCCCUCCCCUGACCUAGUCCCUGGCAGCCACCGUUCUGCUUUUUCUGUCUCUGCAUUUGACUACUCUUAGGUGCCUCAUGGAGGUGGAAUUGUACAUAUUUGUGCAUGUGUGACUGGCUUAUUUCACCUAACAUAAUGUCUUCCAGGGUCAUCCAUGUUGUAGCAUGUAUCAGAAUUUACCUCCUUUUUAAGGCUGAAUAAUAGUGUAUUAUGUGUAUAUAGCUCACAUUUUGUUUAUCCAUUCAUCUGACAGUGGACUCUUGAGUUGCUUCCGUUGCUUCGUUAUUGUGAAUAAUGCUGCAGUGAACAUGGGUGUGCAAAUACCUCUUUGAGUCCCUGCCAUCAGUUAUCUUGUGUAUAUACCCAGAAGUGGUUUGCUAGACCUAUAGUAAUUCAAUUUUUAAGUUUUUUAAGUAAACUGCCGUACUGUUUUCCAUAGUGGUUGCACCAUUUUGUAUUCCUUUCAAUGGUGCACAGGGUUCCAAUUUCUCCACAUUCUGUUUUUUGUUUGUUUGUUUGUUUGUUUUUGAUAGUAGCCAUCCUAGUGGGUAUGAGGUGGUAUCUCAUUGUGGUUUUGAUUUGCAUUUCCCUAAUGAUUAGUGAAGUUGAACAUCUUUUUUAUGUUCUUAUUGGCCAUUUGUAUAUCUUCUUUGGAAGCAUAUCUAUCCAAGCCCUUUCCCCAUUCUUUAUUUAUUUAUUUAUUUAUUUAUUUAUUUAUUUUGAGAUGGAGCCCUGCUCAGUUGCCCAGACUGGAGGGCAGUGGCACGAUCUCGGCUCACUGCAACCUCUGCCUCCCAGGUUCAAGCCAAUUCUCCUGCCUCAGCCUCCGGAGUAGCUGGGAUUACAACUGUGCACCACCACGUCCGGCUAAUUUUUGUAUUUUCGUGGAGACGGGGUUUUACCAUGUUGGCCAGGCUGGUCUCGAACUCCUGACCUCAGGUGAUCUGCCCACCUCAGCCUCCCAAAGUGCUGGGAUUGCAGGCAUGAACCACCGUGCCUGGCCCCCUUUCUCCAUUCUUUAAUUGGGUUGUUUGUUUUUUUGUGAUUGAGUUGUAGGAGUUCUUUAUAUAUUCUGGAUAUUAACUCCUCAUCACAUAUAUGGUUUGCCAAUGUUUUCUCCCAUUUCACGGGUUGCCAUUUCACUUUGUUGACUGUAUCUUUUGAUGCACAGAAAUUUUACAUUUUGACAAAGUCCAAUUUAUUUUUUCGUUUGUUGCUUGUGCUCUACCUACUGCGUGCAUGUGUGUGUCUGUGUAACAGGGUCUUACUCUGUCUCCCAGGCUUGAGUGCAGUUGUGCAAUCUUGGCUCACUGCAGCCUUGAUCUCCUGGGCUCAGCAAUCAUCCCACCUCAGCCUCCAGAGUAGCUGGGACUACAGGCGAGUGCCACCACACUGGCUAAUUUUUGUAUUUUUAGUUGAGACAGAGUGUUGUCAUGUUGCCCAGUCUGGUCUUGAACUUCUGGGCUCAAGCAAUCUGCUGGCUUCAUCCUCCCAAAGCGCUGGGAUUACAGGUGUGAGUCACCUUGCUCAGUCUCUACCUGCAUUUUUGAAUCUGUGUCCUUUGUCAUUACCUGGCUACUUUUUGAGACGUCCAUCAUUUUCUAGCGUACCUGUCUCCAGUUCUCUAAGUUGUUUGUUACAAAUUCUUACACGGUGCUAAAAUUAUCCCAAGCCAAAAAUAACUGUUUGCUGAACAUUAGGCUACUAGGUUACUUUUAUUCUUCUGGUAAGUAUAAAUUCAUACUCUGCACACCUUUUUUAUUGUGUUACAAAAUGGGCAGUAAAAGGCUUGUUUGCAACAAUAUCCAUCCCCUGUGUGCAUGAGACCACACUCCCUGGAGAAAUUCUAAAGCUACAACAAAAUUACCUGAUCUUUCUUUUAGCACAUUUGUCAGGUUACUGCCAUUAGCAUCCAAAAUGAGCAUCUAGUGAGGCCAUUUCAGGCUAAUGCGUCUUUCCCAAAUAGCAUUCUAUUGGUCAAAAUGAAGUAAUUGGGAAUGUGUCCCAUGAUAUAGCAUACUCUCUAAGCGGUCAAAUCUAAGGAAUAAUUUUUGGGGAAAAGCCCUGCUUUAUAUUCUGGCUAGGCCUAACAACGAUAACAAUAACAGCAGUAGAAAUAACCACCAUAUGUUGGGUAUCACUCUAGCCUGGCGCUGAGCUCAGUGCUUCACACAUACUCUCACACUGAAUCCACAAAACAGCCUGAUCGGAAGAUUCUCAUUGAUAUGGUUUGGCUGUCUGUCCCCUCCCAAAUCUCAUCUCCAGUUGUAAUCCCCACGGGUCGAGUGAGGGGCCUGUAAUCCCUACGUGUCGAGGGAGGGAGGUGAUUGGAUCAUGGGGGCAGUUUCCCCCAUGCUGUUCUCAUGAUAGUGAGUGAGUUAUCAGGAGAUCUGAUGGUUUUAUACGUGUUUGGAAGUUCCUUCCUCACUCUUCUCUCUCCUGCCGCCUUGUGGUGAAGGUGCCUGCCUCCCCUUCGCCUUCCACCAUGAUUGUAAGUUUCCUGAGGCCUCCUCAGCCAUAAGGAACUGUGCGUCAAUUAAACCUCUUUAGUUUAAAAAUUAUCCAGUCUCAGGUAUUUGUUUAUAGCAGUGUGAAAACAGACUAAUACACUCAUACUGUUCCCAAUCUACAAGUGGGGAAAUUGAGGCUCAGGCAGGUAAAGGCACAUGCCCACCAGCCACACAGGUUCUGAUGGGUAGAUCUGGAAUUUGAACCCAUGUCUCUCAGAGCCCAGGCUCUUGUUUGUUUGUUUGUUUGUUUGUUUAUUUUUGAGACGGAGUCUUGCUCUGUCACCUAGGCUGGAGUGCGGUGGCGUGAUCUUGGCUCACUACAACCUCUGCCUCCCAGGUUCAAGCGAUUCUCCUGCCUUAGCCUCCUGAGUAGCUGGGAUUACAGGUGCCCAUCACCAUGCCCGGCUAAUUUUUGUAUUUUUAGUAGAGACGGGUUUUUACCAUGUUGGCCAGGCUUGUCUUGAAUGCCUGACCUCAGGUGAUCCACCUGCCUUAGCCUCCUAAAGUGCUGGGAUUACAGGCAUGAGCCACUGUGCCUGGCCUAUUUAUUUAUUUAUUUAUUUUUAUGGACGUGGAGUCUUGCUGUGUUGCCCAGGCUGGCCUUGAAUUCCUGGGCUCAAGUGAUCCUCUCGCCUAAGCCUCCCAAGUAGCAAGCUUUUAAUCAUCACAUGACUCUGCUUUUAUCCACAUGAUUUAUGCCUGCUGUGAGUGCCCUAGCACCGCACGUGCCCCAGAGAGAAACCUGCCCAGGUAGCUGGGUUUGCAGUGCUCCUACCUUGAACCUGCCAAGUCAGCUGCAGUGCUGGGGCCCAGACCCAGCUUUGUUCCCUCUGCCCCAUGGUUGGUGGUCCUUCCUGGGAGGCAGGCUGAUCCAAUGAAGGCACAUCGUAUGUGGCUCCUCCUCACCCCUUAUCAGGCAGUUUAGAACCAACUCACCAACAUACUUGGAAGGAAGGAAAGACUACUGGGAAGAAAGCUGCCACUCACUCUGGCCACAUGUUACACACAAUGGUGACAACAUAAAAACACCUGAGGCACAAGAAAUCCUGGUUGCCUCUGCUUUUGUUUUGGAAAAGGAGCUUUCCAAAAUGUUUAUUUCUGGUAAGCUUUUUUUUUUUUUAUCAUGGAAUAUUUCAAACAUAUAUAACAGUAGAAUAAUGUACCAGUUACUCAGCCUCAGAGUGACAACUCAUGCCCAAUCUUGUUUCCUCUACUUCCCACCCCAAUACCCUUAUCUCAUUGGGUUAUUUUAAAGCAAAUCCUAGACACCAUAACGUUUCAACCAUGACUAUUUUGGUAUAUAUUUCUAAAAGAUAAGGGAAUCUUCAAAAGGUUAUAAUAGCCAGAAUGCCAUUAUCACUCCUGGAAAAAUUAUCAUCAAAUUGAUCUAGUCAGCGCCUACAAUUUCCCUGAUUGUCUCCUACAUGUUUUGUACAUCUUAUUAAAAAGGCCAUGUGUGUUUUAAGUCUCUUUUAAUCUAUAGUUUCUCUCUCCCCACAUCUCUGUCUCUGUCUCUCCACCUCUCCACUCUUGCUGUUUAUUAAUAUCUGUGGAAGAAACCCAUUGUUUGUCCAGCAGCAUUUCCCUCAAUCUGGAUUUUGCUGCUUGUAUUCCUGUGGGGUCCUUUAACAUGUUCCUCUGUCUUCGGAAUUUCUUGUAAUUAGAUCUAGAGGCUUGAUCAGGUUCAGGUUUGAUUUUUGGCAGCAAUACUUCACAGGAGGUAUCGCGCUGUGUCCUUUUGUCAGGAGGCCCAUAAUGUCUUGUGAGCUCUUUUUUUGGGUGAAGUUUGUAGCUGUGGAUGUUCACUGCCUAGAUUCACUAUCUCAUUAAGGCUUGCAAAAUGAUGAUGCUUUUUUUUUGUUUAGCCAGGGUUUUGUUCUGUCACCUUGGCUGGAAUGCAGUGUGGGAUCUUGGCUCACUGCAGCCUUAAUCUCCUGGGCUCAAGUGAUCCUCUCACCUCAGCCUCCCAAGUAGCUGGGACUACAGGCAUGUGCCACCACACCCAGCUAAUUUGGUGUUCUAAUUCUAUCUUCCUUCUUCAUUUAUUAGCUGGAAUACUUGAAAAAGGGCAUCUCCUCAUUAACUCUUUAGUUACCCCAAGGCGCAGUAUGCCCUCUUUCAGUAUAUACACUAUAGACAGUGCAAGACUUGGCUCUUUAAUGGCUUUCAAAUAAUGAGUUUGUUUCCUAGCAUCCUGAGAGGUUUUUUUUUAAAAUUGAUUUUUAAAAAAGUAUCAUUAUGGGGCCGAGCUUGGUGAUUUACACCUGUAAUCUCAGCACUUUGGGAGGCUGAGGUGGGAGGAUCACUUGAGCCCAGGAGUUCAGGACCAGCCUGGGCUGGCAAGAACCUGUCUCUACAGAAAAUACAAAAAUUAGCCAUGGAGCACAUACCUGUAGUCCCAGCUACUUGGGGAGCUGAGGUAGGAGGAUUACUUGAGCCCAGAGGUCCAGGCUGCAGUGAGCCAAAAUCGCGCCACUGCACUCCAGCCUGGGCAACAGAAUGAGACCCCACCCCUCAACCUCUCUCAAAAAAACAGUAUCAUUAUGAAUAUAGGGACUGAAUGCUAUUUGAUGUGUUUCAGUCCCCUGUGAUUCUUAUUCUUAUUGCUGUUCAAAUGAUCCUAUUCAGCCAGAGAGAACCUCUUUGGAUUGGUUCCUGAUGUCUUUGACCCCAGUUGGCUUUGAUGGCUUCCUUGCUUUCUGGAACAGCAAGGUGCCCCAGACUCAUCUUGUACACUUGCUGCUCCAAACCUGGAAUCAGCCAUCUGUCUAAGGAGUCCUGGUUCCUUUGAGUGAGGAAUAUUAUUUAGAAAGCACGAUCUUGUUUUAUGCAAUGCUCAUUACUAUUGGGUUGGUCAUUGUUUCUGGGCAUUUUGAGUGAAUAGAGCUCAGAAAUACAUUUUUUAAAAGGUAAAAUGCAUCACAAAUUAUGAUUACCAAAACUUGGAAGCAGCAAGAUGUUCUUCAGUAGGUGACUGGGUAAACAAACUAUGGUACAUCCAGACAAUGGAAUAUUAUGCAGCGCUUAAAAGGAAGAGUUACCAAGCAAUGAAAAGACACAGGAGAACCUUAAAUGCAUAUUGUUGGGUGGAAGAAGCCAGUCUGUAAAGGCUACACAGAUGAUUCUAACUAUACAAAAAGGCAACACUAUCAAGACAGUAAAAGAUCCAUAGAUUCCAAGUGUUUGGGGGAGGGAGGGCUGGACAGGGGGCACACAGGAUUAGUGAAACUACUCUGUAUGAUAUUAUAAUAGUAGAUAUAUGUCAUUAUACAUUUGUUCCAACCCAUAGAAUGUAAAUCAAGAGUGAAUUUGAAUGUAAACUGUGGACUUUAGUCAAUGUCUCAUUAUUGAUGUAUCAGUUGUAACAAAUGUAUGCCAUUAUGCAAUGUCACUGGUCUGAUUUUUAAAAAAGAGCCCUCCAUUAAUGAAAGAUGUUCACAACAGGGGAAACUGGGAGGGGGUUGGGGAGAUGAAGGGAUAUACGGGAACUCUCUAUUUUCUGCUGAAUUUUUCUGUAAACCUGAAACUGCUAAAAAAAUAAAGUCUACUAAUGUGCUUAAAAAAUCAUGAGUUCAUAUUGACACUUCUAAUUUAAAUUCAGGAUCACCAUGUUUUUACUUAGCCUUGUCUGUUCUUUCUCCCAUGAGAAAUGCCCUUUCUUUUCAGUUCCCAGUGAAAGAUAAACUCAUCUGUUGAGUCUGACCCACUUCACACUCUCAGAUAAGAAUGCCAGUACUAUCAUGUCUUAGUCCAUCUGGGCAGCUGUAACAAAAUACCUUAGACUGGAUAAUUUGUAAAUAAUAAAAACUUAUUGCUCAAGUUCUGGAGGCUGGAAGUCCAAGAUCAAGGCCCAGCAGAUUUGGU
rnacentral:lncRNA from 1 species